ACUUUUGGGGAUAAAAACAGAAACUCCAAGUACUGUAUCAACAAAUGCAAGUACACCACAAUCAGUGAGCAGUGUGGUUCAUUAUCUGGCAAUGGCACUCUUUCAAAUAGAGCAGGGCAUUGAGCGGCGUUUUCUGAAAGCUCCACUUGGUAAAACAGAAAUUAAUAAGGAUCAAAAGGGAGAUAGAAAAAAAAAAGGACAAGAAAAAGAGAGAGGAAGAUCUAUCUAGUGUGAGAGAUGAUGCCAGUGACAGUGGGCGUUCUUAUAAAACAGUUCUGGACCGUUGGAGAGAGUCUCUCCUUUCUUCUGCUAGUCUAUCCCAAGUUUUUCUUCACCUAUCCACCUUGGAUCGUAGCGUGAUAUGGUCUAAAUCUAUACUGAAUGCGCGUUGCAAGAUAUGUCGAAAGAAAGGCGAUGCUGAAAACAUGGUUCUUUGUGAUGGCUGUGAUAGGGGUCAUCAUACCUACUGUGUUCGACCAAAGCUCAAGACUGUGCCUGAAGGAGACUGGUUUUGUCCAGAAUGUCGACCAAAGCAACGUU
rnacentral:lncRNA from 1 species